CAUGCAUGCGGUGGGGUGUCGGGGCCCCCAGUCCUGCGGGCAGGGCCCGGACGCCCCUUCCGAGGUCCGACCUGUGCCCUGGAACCCAGUUGGACCCCGCCCGCACCUUCCCGGAACGCCAGAGCGCACCCCUCCUCAGGUGGAGGACAGAGGAAGUUGGCCGCAGAAUCAGCGUUCAUUUUAAAUGAAAAAAAAAAAAAAAAAAAAAAAUCCUGGGGAGAUUUCCCAGGUGGUGUAAAUACAGAGGCUACCGAAGCAUUAGUUCUGGAGGAAGAAUUCGUAGCAGGUUUGCGGGAGUCCCGAAGCUGGAUGCCCUAUGAACCCGAUGUACCUAGAUAAUAACCUUUCCCCCAGCUAGUCGAAGUCUGUGUACAAGUGUUUCGAAAAAGAUCUGUACCUCUUCAAGAGUGGUGACCUGACGCUUACGCGAAGCCCGCAAUUUGGCGUGAGGGUGAGCCGAUGCAGGGUUGCACACAAAAUGUGCCUUGUGCCCAUUGGAGUAAGAGAGUGGCAGACUUUCUGGUAGAUGGGAUUUUGAAGAAGAGAUAAGGCAGUUUUCCCAUUUGGGCGAUGGAAGAAUGUUCCCCAUAUUUGGAUUUGCUUCACUUCUAGUACAUAAGCUUCGCCAAACUAACGUGAAAGUCGACGAUGGUGGAAGUGGACAGGGGAUUAAGCUAAUUGCUGUUAAAGUGACCUCAGUGGCCAGAUAGGGCUUCUGCCCCUUUCAGUUUCUGGACCUGGAUUUACUGGUGGAGUGGCUUGAGCUCCGACUCCAAGUGAUGAAUUCAUCUUAGUAGUUUUGGAACAGGCCUUCCUUAUGGUUUGUACUUCAAGACUAAGGACACUUAAAAGAGGGAAGUUGCAUAGUUCACCUGUAGCCAACUUGACAGCAUAAUUUUUAGGAGUCAAGAAUCGACAUUGGGUUAUUUCUUAAGAUUGAGCCUUGAAAGUCCACUUGGAUGUGACGCAGCUCUGUGCACACUUGCACAUGAAAAUGAUCUUCCAUCAAGGAGCUCUCCCUCUUCAGCUAAAUCAACAGCAGUCGUUCAAAGAAGAAGGGACCCCCUAUCUGACCAAACUCAGCCAGACUAAUCAAAUAAGUCUUUGUGAGCAAGGAAUAAAGCUGCACUAGGGUGGCCCCAUCACACCUUUCUUGAGCAGCUCCCUCUAAGAUUGCCACCUACAUGCAGGUCAUACCCUGUACGAAGGAUGGAUGGAAGAUUCUUGUGAACAGAUUAGGUUUAUUGUAAAAGAUGAAAUAUUUGACCAAAAUUGAAGUUAAUUUCAUGGAUAAAGUUCAAAACAUUACUGUAGAUAUGAAUUAUGUUUGUAUGUAUUUAUAUAUGUAUGUAUAUAUAGUUGUGUGGUUACAUGUUUCUAUGUAUCAGAAAUUAGCACAACUUAAACUUAGUAAAUGUUGAAAAUAAAACUAUUUUGGAUA